rnacentral:rRNA from 1 species
UACGUAGGGCGCAAGCGUUAUCCGGAAUUAUUGGGCGUAAAGAGCUCGUAGGCGGUUUGUCGCGUCUGCCGUGAAAGUCCGGGGCUCAACUCCGGAUCUGCGGUGGGUACGGGCAGACUAGAGUGAUGUAGGGGAGACUGGAAUUCCUGGUGUAGCGGUGAAAUGCGUAGAUAUCUGGAGGAACACCGGUGGCGAAGGCGGCAUCCUGGAGCCGACACCUGACGCUGAGGAGCGAAAGCCAGGGAGCAAGCGGG